GGAAGCUCUAUAGGAGGUCUACGCUUUCGGCAAAGAGGGCGUGGCAACACGGCGGCAGACCGCACCGAUUGAGGGUUUCGACCAGAAUGAUGCUGUCGGACUCCAAUACCAGAGGAUGCGGAGACAGAACGGGUGAAACCUCCGAUCAAGCUGCCCGAGUGAUCGCGAGCAAUGCUUGCUAUUGCACCCAUUUGAUUCACUGUGGGGAAGGCUCCGUCCACAUUAAUCUUCACCGUGCCCUACUACGGUGGAAGCCAUGUCCGAUUAGGGUUCAGCCAAGCAGAUCUACUUGUCGAUUCCUGCUGUUGAGUACUAAUCUGGAGGUUAGUCGGGGCGAAAGCUGUUUCAAUCGGCUAGCUUUAGAUGUGGAAAUUGUGUCAGAAGUGUCUUGCCGUCAGUGAUAAGCACGUGGACAGAGUCGCUCGUGAGGGAUUCUACUACUCUUAGAUCGUCUGACUCAUGAGUAGUUCAAUUCAAAUUUUGUUGAGAAGUAAUCGAGGGAAUUAAGACAUGCAACGGUUUCGGCUUGAAGCGCUUAAAAAGCCUUCACUCUCCAUGCGAACCAAUCCAUCAAUCUACCCCCAAAGUUGUGGCAAAUGCAAGCUAUGGAGCCUUCGGAUGAUACUUCGUGGAAAGAUCGGUCGAUGUUUAGCUUUAGUAUUCCUUUGCUCGGUGGUGUCCAUCUCUUGGCCAUCAACAACAUUUUUUUUUUUCGGUAAGGGAGAGUGGAAGGGAGCACAAUCAAGAAAUAGGAAAAGAAGAACAACACAGACUAAAUAUAGCAAGGACCGAAGGUCCAGGAGAGACAACAAAGAGCUAAGACUAGCAAAGACCCUCCGCUGCCAGAAGAGAAGCCAACAUCCGGAUACUGAAAAGGCAGGAUGUUGAAGGAUGCCGAUCUAAUCAUGCUCCUGUCGAUCGCUGAAGAUAGCUGGGUGGAAGCCCCAACUCCGUUGGAGACGUCUAUUUCUCGGGAUAUCAGGGAUAUUAGAAAAACUUGUAGCUUUGUCCUUCACACUUUUGAUAAUGUGAUUUUUGAUUGAAGUAA